rnacentral:rRNA from 1 species
AGUCAAGUAAUUAAGUGCAUGUGGUGGAUGCCUUGGCAGUCAGAGGCGAUGAAAGACGUGAUAGCCUGCGAAAAGCUCCGGGGAGGCGGCAAAUAUCCUUUGAUCCGGAGAUGUCUGAAUGGGGGAACCCACCUACUUUAAGGUAGGUAUUGCAACAUGAAUACAUAGUGUUGCAAGGCGAACGAGGGGAAGUGAAACAUCUCAGUACCCUUAGGAAAAGAAAUCAAUUGAGAUUCCCUCAGUAGCGGCGAGCGAACGGGGAUCAGCCCAUUAAGUUAUGUGUGUUUUAGUGGAACGCUCUGGGAAGUGCGAACGUAGAGGGUGAUAUUCCCGUACACGAAAGGGCACACAUAAUGAUGACGAGUAGGGCGAGGCACGUGAAACCUUGUCUGAAUAUGGGGGGACCAUCCUCCAAGGCUAAAUACUCCUGACUGACCGAUAGUGAACCAGUACCGUGAGGGAAAGGCGAAAAGAACCCCUGUGAGGGGAGUGAAAUAGAUCCUGAAACCGCAUGCAUACAAGCAGUGGGAGCACCUUCGUGGUGUGACUGCGUACCUUUUGUAUAAUGGGUCAGCGACUUAUAUUCAGUAGCAAGGUUAACCGUAUAGGGGAGCCGUAGAGAAAUCGAGUCUUAAUAGGGCGUUUAGUUGCUGGGUAUAGACCCGAAACCAGGCGAUCUAUCCAUGAGCAGGUUGAAGGUUGGGUAACACUAACUGGAGGACCGAACCCACUGUCGUUGAAAAGCCAGGGGAUGACUUGUGGAUAGGGGUGAAAGGCUAAUCAAGCCUGGUGAUAGCUGGUUCUCCCCGAAAGCUAUUUAGGUAGCGCCUCGGACGAAUACCAUAGGGGGUAGAGCACUGUUUCGGCUAGGGGGUCAUCCCGACUUACCAAACCGAUGCAAACUCCGAAUACCUAUGAGUACUAUCCGGGAGACAGACUGCGGGUGCUAACGUCCGUAGUCAAGAGGAAAACAAUCCAGACCGCCAGCUAAGGCCCCAAAAUCAUAGUUAAGUGGGAAACGAUGUGGGAAGGCAUAGACAGCUAGGAGGUUGGCUUAGAAGCAGCCACCCUUUAAAGAAAGCGUAAUAGCUCACUAGUCGAGUCGGCCUGCGCGGAAGAUGUAACGGGGCUAAAACUAUGUGCCGAAGCUGCGGAUUUGACAUUAGUCAAGUGGUAGGGGAGCGUUCUGUAAGCCGAUGAAGGUGUGUUGAGAAGCAUGCUGGAGGUAUCAGAAGUGCGAAUGCUGACGUGAGUAACGACAAAACGGGUGAAAAACCCGUUCGCCGAAAGACCAAGGGUUCCAGUCCAACGUUAAUCGGGGCUGGGUGAGUCGACCCCUAAGGCGAGGCCGAAAGGCGUAGUCGAUGGGAAAAUGGUUAAUAUUCCAUUACUUCUGUGUAAUGCGAUGAGAGGACGGAGAAGGCUAAAUCAGCCUGGCGUUGGUUGUCCAGGUGAAAGGAUGUAGGCAUGUAUCUUAGGCAAAUCCGGGGUACUCUAUGCUGAGAUCUGAUAGCAAGCUGUACUUGUACAGCGAAGUGGUUGAUGCCAUGCUUCCAGGAAAAGUCUCUAAGCUUCAGUUACACAGGAAUCGUACCCGAAACCGACACAGGUGGUCAGGUCGAGUAGACCAAGGCGCUUGAGAGAACUCUGCUGAAGGAACUAGGCAAAAUGGUACCGUAACUUCGGGAGAAGGUACGCUGUUGUUGGUGAUGGAACUCGCUUCCUGAGCUGACGACAGCCGCAGAAACCAGGCCGCUGCAACUGUUUAUUAAAAACAUAGCACUCUGCAAACACGAAAGUGGACGUAUAGGGUGUGAUGCCUGCCCGGUGCUGGAAGGUUAAUUGAUGGGGUUAGCGUAAGCGAAGCUCUUGAUCGAAGCCCCAGUAAACGGCGGCCGUAACUAUAACGGUCCUAAGGUAGCGAAAUUCCUUGUCGGGUAAGUUCCGACCUGCACGAAUGGCAUAAUGAUGGCGGCGCUGUCUCCAGCAGAGGCUCAGUGAAAUCGAAAUCGCUGUGAAGAUGCAGUGUACCCGCGGCUAGACGGAAAGACCCCGUGAACCUUUACUGCAGCUUGACACUGAACUUUGACCUUACUUGUGUAGGAUAGGUGGGAGGCUUUGAAGCUGGAACGCUAGUUCCAGUGGAGCCGUCCUUGAAAUACCACCCUGGUAAUGUUGAGGUUCUAACUCUGUCCCGUGAUCCGGGACGAGGACCGUGUCUGGUGGGUAGUUUGACUGGGGCGGUCUCCUCCUAAAGAGUAACGGAGGAGUACGAAGGUGCGCUCAGCGUGGUCGGAAAUCACGCGUAGAGUAUAAAGGCAAAAGCGCGCUUAACUGCGAGACCCACAAGUCGAGCAGGUACGAAAGUAGGUCUUAGUGAUCCGGUGGUUCUGUAUGGAAGGGCCAUCGCUCAACGGAUAAAAGGUACUCUGGGGAUAACAGGCUGAUACCGCCCAAGAGUUCAUAUCGACGGCGGUGUUUGGCACCUCGAUGUCGGCUCAUCUCAUCCUGGGGCUGAAGCAGGUCCCAAGGGUAUGGCUGUUCGCCAUUUAAAGAGGUACGCGAGCUGGGUUUAGAACGUCGUGAGACAGUUCGGUCCCUAUCUACCGUGGGCGCUGGAAAUUUGAGAGGAUCUGCUCCUAGUACGAGAGGACCAGAGUGGACGAACCUCUGGUGUACCGGUUGUGACGCCAGUCGCAUCGCCGGGUAGCUAUGUUCGGAAGGGAUAACCGCUGAAAGCAUCUAAGCGGGAAGCCUACCUCAAGAUAAGAUUUCCCUAGGACUUUAUGUCCUCUAAAGAGCCGUUCGAGACUAGGACGUUGAUAGGUUGGAUGUGGAAGCAUAGUGAUAUGUGAAGCUGACCAAUACUAAUUGCUCGUGAGGCUUGACUAU